rnacentral:siRNA from 1 species
GCCGUAACGCCUAGGGCUUGGA